CACUUGUGAAGCAUUCCCUAACCAUCUCCCUAUACCACAAGCAAAGUUAGUUGUUUCUUUUUCUGGGUUUUAAUAAUCCUUUGUUCUUAUUUCAUAUAUAGCAUUUAUUUCAUUUUAUAAUUGUAUUUGUUAUAUACUUGGCAGCAGUAUUUGCUGAGGAAAAGGAAUGGUUCAGAGAUGGCAAUUGUGUUCUUUUAUUUUGAAAAUUUGGCCAACUAGGAACAACUUUAAUGUCUUCUGAUUUUGUUCUUAAAAUUCAGCCAAAAGCUUAAUCUAUAAAUGUAUUUUCUAUAGGAGAAAAUAUGGAGAAGUCUUGUGCAAGCAAGGAAGAAGUCAAAGAAGUCAGUAUUGAAGAUACAGGUGUUGAUGUAGAUCCAGAAAAACUGGAAAUGGAGAGUAAACAUCAUAGAAAUUUGCUAUUUCAAGAUUGUGAAAAAGAGCAAGACAACAAAACAAAAGAUCCAACCCAUGAUGUUAAAACCCCCAAUACAGAAACGAGGACAAGUUGCUUAAUUAAGUAUAAUGUGUCUACUACGCCAUACUUGCAAAGUGUGAAAAAGAAGGUGCAGUUUGAUGAAACAAAUUCCGCAUUUAAAGAGCUGAAGUUUUUAACACCAGUGAGACGUUCUCGACGUCUUCAAGAGAAAACUUCUAAAUUGCCAGAUAUGUUAAAAGAUCAUUAUCCUUGUGUGUCUUCAUUGGAACAGCUAACAGAGUUGGGAAGAGAAACUGAUGCUUUUGUAUGCCGCCCUAAUGCAGCACUGUGCCGGGUGUACUAUGAGGCUGAUACAACAUAAG
rnacentral:sRNA from 1 species